UUCCGUAGGGGAACCUGCGGAGGGAUCAUUACACAAAUAUGAAGGCGGGCUGGAACCUCUCGGGGUUACAGCCUUGCUGAAUUAUUCACCCUUGUCUUUUGCGUACUUCUUGUUUCCUUGGUGGGUUCGCCCACCACUAGGACAAACAUAAACCUUUUGUAAUUGCAAUCAGCGUCAGUAACAAAUUAAUAAUUACAACUUUCAACAACGGAUCUCUUGGUUCUGGCAUCGAUGAAGAACGCAGCGAAAUGCGAUAAGUAGUGUGAAUUGCAGAAUUCAGUGAAUCAUCGAAUCUUUGAACGCACAUUGCGCCCUUUGGUAUUCCAAAGGGCAUGCCUGUUCGAGCGUCAUUUGUACCCUCAAGCUUUGCUUGGUGUUGGGCGUCUUGUCUCUAGCUUUGCUGGAGACUCGCCUUAAAGUAAUUGGCAGCCGGCCUACUGGUUUCGGAGCGCAGCACAAGUCGCACUCUCUAUCAGCAAAGGUCUAGCAUCCAUUAAGCCUUUUUUUCAACUUUUGACCUCGGAUCAGGUAGGGAUACCCGCUGAACUUAAGCAUAUCAAUAAGCCGGAGGAAGAC
rnacentral:rRNA from 1 species